GAGACUUGUAUGAAUGGCAUAACGAGGGUUUGACUGUCUCUUAUUCUCAAUCAGUGAAAUUGACCUCCCCGUGCAGAGGCGGGGAUUUAUAUACAAGACGAGAAGACCCUGUGGAGCUUAAGACUAAUAGAUUAAUUCAACUUAUUACUAAAUCCAAGGAAAUAACAAAACGAAACAUAAUUUAUAGUCUUUGGUUGGGGUGACCUCGGAGCACAAAAUAACCUCCGAAUGACAUAACUAAGAUUAACAAAUCUAAGUGUAAUAAUACCAGUAAUUGACCCAUAUUUUGAUCAACGGACCAAGUUACCCCAGGGAUAACAGCGCAAUCCUAUUUAAGAGCCCAUAUCGACAAUUAGGGUUUACGACCUCGAUGUUGGAUCAGGACAUCCAAAUGGUGCAACCGCUAUUAAUGGUUCGUUUGUUCAACGAUUAAAGUCCUACGUGAUCUGAGUUCAGACCGGAGAAAUCCAGGUCGGUUUCUAUCUGUAUAUUUAUUUCUCCCAGUACGAAAGGACAAGAGAAAUAAGGCCAACAUUAACAGAUGAGCCUUAGAAUUAAUAUAUGAAAUUAUCUUAAUAUCCUUAUUCAAUA
rnacentral:rRNA from 1 species